ACCAAUUUUGAAUCCUUCUCCACUUAAAAAGUUAAGAAACCACAACAAAGGCUGAGAUUUCAUCUAAGUUAAUCUAAAGGUCAGAUUUCAAUUGAGACACACACAAAAAAAAAUUACCGCCCAAAUCAAAACCCCCACACUCUCCUUCCCGUGUACUCUUCGCCUCUCUGUCUCCUUAAUGCCACUCUCUGAUUGAUAAGAACGUCACUCUCUUCCUCGCUUUGUCUGAUGAUAAUAACGCCACUCCUCUUCCUCUCUUUGUCUCUUUAACGCCACCUCCCAAAUCAAGAUUGCUUGCUAAGCGAACUCAACUCCGGUGAGUUACGUCGUCAUCAGACCACAGCGCCGGUCACAAGGUAUUCAUAAUCCAUCCGUCUCACAAUGUCUUCAUUUGCAAAAUAUGAAUUCUCAUCAUAUCUACACUCUUAGGAGGUUCAAACCCUCUUUGUGUUAUGCCAUCUGCUAUACUAUUUCAUACCGACGGACCGUGAGAUUAAACCCUCUUUGUGUUUUGAUCUUUAAAUAACCCUCAAGGUGUUUGUCUUUAUGCCUGAAAGAAAAUAAACUAAGCAAACUGUUUUGGUGUUACUAAAGUUACUCUGUUUUGGUGUUUUGGGUUUUCCUGAAUCCAAAGCUUCAAAUUUUUGAUAUUUUUAAGAACUGAAAACAGAGUAUUCGGCUGGGUUUUAAGGUUGUCUCCGAAUUUUCAUUCCAACUCUGUUUUCAAGUUUGUCUUCUUCUUUAAUUUUUCAAUUUUGGGAAGAAAAGAAACUAUUUUGUCUUUCUUGGACUGGAUUUUCUUUAAUUUUAAUUUUAUUUUUUUUUUAAAAAAAGAAAGUUCGGAUAAGGGGGAAUUACCUGCAUUUUUUUAUAUUGCAAGAAAAGGGCCUUACUAUGUUUAAAGCUACGUAACUCUAUUUUUUAACAUUUCUUUUUAAAAAAUUUGCUUUUGUUCCAAGUGAGUUAAAAGUUUA
rnacentral:lncRNA from 1 species